rnacentral:lncRNA from 1 species
CAAGCCCAAAAUACUUCCUGGAAAGAAAUGAGAAAAGAUAUCCCCCCAUCAAAGAAUGGGGUGGGGCAAGAAAGGUGAAAUGACCCUGUUAAAACAAAUGUAGAUGCCAAACAGUCUGACCAGGCACUGGAGGUUGAAGGUGUUAGAGAUGUUACAUGAGUGGGAGGAAGCUGGGACAUCAAUACUAAUAAGAGAGGGCAAGAGAGUUAUGAUCUGGACACACUGUUCACCACUGUGUUUACUGAAGACUGGCAUUGGCUCUGGCCUUUUGGAAGUUGUGUGAAGCUGUUUUAAAUGAAUUAAUUAAAAUAAUAGUUAAUAUGACUGGAACCUUACUAGGAGGUAGUCCCUUUUGUUAUGUUUUACAUGGAUCACUUCAUUUAUUACCUGAAAUCUUAAUGUCCAGGAACUGCUAUUACACCUCUUUCCCAGAUGAGGAAAC